UACGUAGGGGGCUAGCGUUGUUCGGAAUCACUGGGCGUAAAGGGCGCGUAGGCGGCCGAUCAAGUCGGGGGUGAAAGCCUGUGGCUCAACCACAGAAUUGCCUUCGAUACUGUUUGGCUUGAGACCGGAAGAGGUUAGUGGAACUGCGAGUGUAGAGGUGAAAUUCGUAGAUAUUCGCAAGAACACCAGUGGCGAAGGCGGCUGACUGGUCCGGUUCUGACGCUGAGGCGCGAAAGCGUAGGGAGCAAACAGG
rnacentral:rRNA from 1 species